CUCUCUGUGCAGUAGAGAAGGGGAAAGGGAAGAUCAGUUUUCAACUGAGGAUAUGAAAUGUUCGCACUUCAAACUCCAUGGGGCUUGUACUUUUGCUUUCUAAUUUGUGUAAAGUGAGUUUAAUGCUUGAGAAAGGUACCAGAUGGCUUUUCCAAAGGAAAAAAAUAUUUGAUAUAGCCACAGAAUAGGGGUAACAUGCAGAGUGGAAGUAAAAGUACCCCAGCCAGCCCCUGUGACACUCACCAGCCCUAAGGUAACCACUUCUGACAAAGGAUUUCAUGUCACCCAGUUGAGAACCACUGAACUAGAGAGAGUGUGAUCAGAUGAGAGGAUUGCAGUACAGCUGCCCUCAGCAAUGGAGCCCAAAGCUGCAGCAUCCCUGGAGAGUGAACUGCUGGUAACACUUUCUACAAGACUCUGGUAACCUCUUGCCUUUGAUCCGUCAUAGCCCAGGACAGAAAUUGGCUUCUCUACUGACACCAGACUUGAGAUGCAGACUUGAGGUGCCCUAUAAAUCCAAAGGACACGUGACCACAUCAUUGAAUACCACUACUAUGGACACCCAUUUUCUGAAGACAAGCUAAAGUAUGAUGCUCGUGAGGAAUGAUUCACUCUUCUAACCCUACAAGUUGUCCCUUCCAGAGCAAGAUUAUGGGACCCUGGCAGAGCUGCAAUGGAAAGCUAGACUUGCUUUGAUAGAAGAUAAAUAACAAAUAACAGCUGAAUCAGUCUACUGCGAACUUGUUUUUUAAUACAUAUAUAGGAAAGAGCCAGGGCCUGAUCCAAGCAUGCAGACUUGAAUAUACUUUGGCUCAGUCUAAGGAGAAAGGGGUGCUUCUUUUUUCUUUCAAAAGCUUGGAAGGGAUUAAUGGUAAUGUGGAAUGCAAGACUACAUAGUAAGUUCAGUGGACCAGUGGUGACAACUGAGAAUAGAGCUGUGUUUAAUGAAACUCUUCCCUGAACAGUGAUUGCUUUACUUGGAUCCCAAGAAUGGGCAUUUGUUAAUUUUAGCAUACCACAAAUAUAUGAAAGCGCUUACAGUUUUGCUGAGCCAGCCUAGUUCAGUAAUAAAAAUCUAGUAAUGUACAGCUGUAACCUGGCAUGUGAACAACACAACGCAUUUUGUAAUCUUUGGAUUCAACCAAUUCUUUGCAAUUCAAAACAACUUGG